rnacentral:rRNA from 1 species
AACCUCCGCAAUGUGAGAAAUCGCGACGGGGGGAUCCCAAGUGCCAUUCUUAACGGGAUGGCUUUUCAUUAGUGUAAAGAGCUUUUGGAAUAAGAGCUGGGCAAGACCGGUGCCAGCCGCCGCGGUAACACCGGCAGCUCUAGUGGUAACAAUUUUUAUUGGGCCUAAAGCGUCCGUAGCCGGUUUAAUAAGUCUCUGGUGAAAUCCUGUAGCCUAACUGUGGGAAUUGCUGGAGAUACUAUUAGACUUGAGACCGGGAGAGGUUAGAGGUACUCCCAGGGUAGAGGUGAAAUUCUGUAAUCCUGGGAGGACCGCCUGUUGCGAAGGCGUCUAACUGGAACGGUUCUGACGGUGAGGGACGAAAGUUAGGGGCGCGAACCGGAUUAGAUACCCGGGUAGUCCUAACUGUAAACGAUGCGGACUUGGUGUUGGGGUGGCUUUGAGCUGCUCCAGUGCCGAAGGGAAGCUGUUAAGUCCGCCGCCUGGGAAGUACGGUCGCAAGACUGAAACUUAAGGAAUU